GAUGAGAGAAGGGGGAGAACCGAAGAAAGCACCUUCUUGGAGGAUGCUCUGGACUGGGGUGCUCUGGACCGGGAUUCUCUGGACCGGGGUGCUCUGGACCGGGGUGCUCUGGACCGGGGUGCUCUGGACCGGGAUUCUCUGGACCGGGGUGCUCUGGACCGGGGUGCUCUGGACCAGGGUGCAAGUGAUGGACCCAAGAAGGCACUGUCCAGGAGGGCAGCACCCCACACGUGGUCCAGGGCCCUCUCAGAGACCUUGGACAGGGAGGCUCCAUCCAGAAACCUGGGGGGAAAGGAACAGCUUAGGCAGGCUCCUAAGGGGCAGGAUCCCUCCCAGAGUGGCAGGGGCUUGGGGCCCUGCUGAGGCCCCCCGGGUGCCCAGGGUCCACUGCUGGGUCAGUCAGCACCUCACCAGGCUCCCUUCUAGGACCUGGAAAACCCGGACAGGAGACCUUGAGAAUGGAGCCCCCCUGCCAGCCUCAGGCCAGGCUCCCAGGCUCCCGUCUCCCCACAGCCAGGCCCCUGCAAACCUGGCCCCAUGUGAACAGACAUGGGAGGUAGGAAAUAUUGGGUAUAAGACAGGCUACAAGGAUGUAUUACGCAACACAGAGAAUAUAGCCAGUAUUUUGCAAUAACCAUAAAUGAAGUGUAACCUUUAAAAUCAGUAUAAAAAAAUUUUCUAAUUCAUCAAUCCAUGUGCUUCCCUGGUGGCCUAGGAUACAGGGGUUCGAUUCCUGAUCCAGAAGAUCCCACUUGCGCAGCACAGCUGAGCCCAGGCACCACAACUCCUGAGCCUGUGAUCCUGAGCCUGGGAGCCGAACCCACUCAGCCCACGUGUUGCAGCUACGAAGCCCGCUUGCCUCAGAGCCCGCGCUGCAAACCUACAGGAGCCGCUGCAAUGAGAAGCCUGCGUGCAGCAAGGAGAGAAAAGCCCCAGCAGCGCUGAUGAACCAGCGCAGCCAAAGUAACAAAUAAGUAAAAUUGUUUCUAAAAGUCAUCAAUCCGGGAGGCGUAAGGAGAAGAAUCACGCCCCCCUCUCUGUGGCUGUUGCUGCUGUAGACAGGCGCUAUCCAGGGGAUGAGGGGCAGGCGACUCGUCCUCAGGGACCACUCCCCCCCAGGAGCCCGGUGGUGGUCGGGGGGCUGUGCCACCCCCACUGGAGCCAUUACCCUUUUGAACUAUCUGUUGGGGGUGGGGGGCAGAUCAGAGGGUUAAAACAGGAAGAAGGAGCUGAAUUACCCCCAGGCUCCCGGGAAACCCACGAGAAUCAGACGGGAGGAACUGCCACGAAGAUCACCGAGCACAUGGCUGGGAAACAGAACUAAAACAUGAAAACGGAUCGUCUUAUUACAGAUGGUCACGAAUGAGAAGCCAGCGUGGGAGAAGGAAGCCCAGGUGAUGGUCGGCCCAGACAAGGGGGUCAGCUCCGGAGUGGACUCUGAGAAGGACCCCACACCUGCGGAGGGGCCUCUCGCAGCCCUCCUGAGGACACGCGGUCACAGGCAAACGCAGAAACACCCGCGCGGCCCUGGAUGCCGAGGCAGAACCCAGGACGCCAGCCUGCAGCCUGAGCGAGUCUUCGGAGUUUCCGGGCCCAGCGCCGCCUGGAACGGCGCCCGCGGGUGGACUAGAGAGAUGCUCAGCUGCGGGCAGAGAGGACCAAGGCCGUGCCGCCGUCUGCAGAGGGCACGGGCAUGCCAGGUCCCCGGAGGAGCUGCAGCCUCACUGUGCAUCGCAGGCUCAUUCCCUCAGGAAGACGGAGGACACAGCGUGGCUCUGCUGGCCUGUCCCCUUGUCCUCCGCCGGCAGUGACGCGGCUGCAGGCUCACAGCACAAGCGUGCUCUGGCCCCAGACACCACCCGGCAGAUCAGCGGCCUCUCCCAGUGCCCGCCUGCUUCCUUGGCACGCCCUGCUCGCCCAGGCGGGCACCCCAGACGCCUGCCCAACCCCAGCCCAGAGUGCUGCAUCCAGUGGUCCCGGAAGACCCCCACGCCAGGAAUGGCCGCUGACCGGCUGAAGACCACGGCCACUUUCCAGGCUGACCCCACGCCAGGAAUGGCCGCUGACCGGCUGAAGGCCACGGCCACUUUCCAGGCUGGGAACUUGGAGCAACAAAGCAAAGCCCUCUCCAGUCUCCUUCCUGGAGGGUCUCAGAAGACGCCCCCGCUUGUCAUCUCAAAGGGGCUCAGAGCCCCAGGUCUGGCCCCUGGCACUUCUGGAGUAGGCUGGGGAUCCUGCCAACAGCCAGGCGGUCGGGCCGGCCCCCGCAGUGGGGGAGCAGGCUGCCCCGAAGUGCGCUCGGGCCUGGAGGCCAAGGGCACAGCCACCAGCAUAAGGCUGGCCUCCCCAUAGCCCAGACAUGGUGACGUCCCUCCCGAGCCCACGCUGCAGCCCGAAACCCCUCCCUCCACAGAGACCGCCUCGCCCUCAGCAGCUCAGGGGCACAGCAGCUGCUCUCAGCCCCAGCUGUUCACUGCCCUGGACCACCGACGACUCCCUCAGGACUUCUGACUUAGCAGACGGGUUAGGCCGGCUCCUGGCCCAGGUACAGCCAAAGACUCGCCCCCUCACCCCAGGGAGAGACGCCAGGAGGGUCCUUGCAGCCCCUCCCCGUUCCAUCAACAAGGGUUAAUUAAAACGCAUGUGGUUCCGAGAAGUGACUGGAAGGGGGGCUGUGGUCUAUUAACUUAUCGUCUCCACUUCCACUGGGCGCGGGGUUCACACAUCUGCAGAUCAUCAGAGCGGAGAUUUCUGGCAAAGGAUGGCUUUGGUCCCCUGCAAGACGGUGUUUCCCAGGUGAACGCCCUAAACGGAGUGGUUAAAAGUGAAAAGCAUAAAUACCCACCCACCAAACGGAGUAAAAAUGGAAAUGUCUCCUGCUUGCGGAGGUGAGCCCGGAGCUUUGCAUCCGUUAACCUUCCCUGGGGGGCCUCUCGUCCCUUGCGAUGAUGGGCGGCCACCGAGACGGCGGACGGCCUGACCUUUAUUCAGCUAAAAGCAUGGGGCCCUGGGUGUUAAGUGGAUGUCACUCCGGGAUGGAAUUGAUCCUAGAAUGAGAAGCUCUGGAGCUGUCUUAGAUAAUGUGAUGGCAAAUGGACUCGGUGUGCUUGGCUCGGGCAAAUUAAACAAAACCCAAUGCAAAUAGUCCUUCCCCUGCUGAGCUGCUUCAGAGACAAGCAGCUCCUCUCCUCUGAAAGAAGGCCUGGUCCUCGGAGACCCAGCGGCUUUCACAGGAUUUUGGAGGGAAAUCCCUGAGCUUGCUGCACAAGGAAACUCCUGGGGGCAGUCAGGUCGACCUUAAUGUCUUCACUCUGAAGGAGUGGCUUUGAAUCUGAAAAAAUAAAUAUACGUAUAUUAAAAUAGUUAAGGAUACUUUUAAGAAGAUUCACAGGAAAGCACUUGCCCCACCAAAAUCAAACAAAGAACGGCAGGCGGUAACAUGGACACAGGCCCCUUCUCAGAGACGGCAGUCACCAACACGGGGUAAACGGCCAAAGCCACGUAAAGACACCGGGAAGCCCGCAGAGCACACGGAGGAGAGAGGCUCAAGCUCGGGGAAAGGCGUCUGGGAAGAGGAGGCGUCAGGGCCCGUCUUCCUGGACCACCACCUUCAGGGAGCACAGAAGGCAAGGCCCGGCCGGCCAGGCCGACAGGCCCGGGGUCAGUGUCCAGGCCCCCCACCCCGUCCAGCAGACUCACCACCUACAGGGAGCGCAGAAGGCAAGGCCCGGCCGGCCAGGCUGACAGGCCCGGGGUCAGUGUCUAAGCCCACCGUCCAGCAGACUCACCACCUACAGGGAGCGCAGAAGGCAAGGCCCCGCCGGCCAGGCUGACAGGCCUGGGGUCAGUGUCCAGGCCCCCCACCCCGUCCAGCAGACUCAGCACCUUCAGGGAGUGCAGAAGGCAAGGCCCGGCCGGCCAGGCUGACAGGCCUGGGGUCAGUGUCCAGGCCCCCCACCCCGUCCAGCAGACUCAGCACCUUCAGGGAGUGCAGAAGGCAAGGCCCGGCCGGCCAGGCUGACAGGCCCAGGGUCAGUGUCUAGGCCCACCGUCCAGCAGACUCACCACCUACAGGGAGUGCAGAAGGCAAGGCCCGGCCGGCCAGGCCGACAGGCCCGGGGUCAGUGUCCAGCAGAUUCCCCUUCUGGGCCUUGGGGCAGCCUCCAGGGCCCUGAACGAGAAAUCUUUUUAGGACAAAGCCAAGUCAAAGCCACAGUAUCAUGAUUUCUGAUAAAUUAAUGCUGUAUGCAGAAGUAAAGACAAGGGGAAAAUCAAACGUGGUUGGGGUGUAUUUAAAAUGUGUCGCAUUUAAUUCACACCUAAGUUGUGACUUGUUUCUUUUGCUUUGCUGAAAAGGUCUUCCCAUUUUUUAAGCUGUCAAAGGAAAGAGCAAGUGAAGGGAAAUUAGAAAUAAAGUAAGGACUUCCUGUGGUGGUCCAGACGUUAAGACUGCGCCCUCCCAGCGCAGGGGCCUGGGUUUGAUCCCGGUCAGGAAACCACAUGCUUAACCAGGAGUUCACGCACCACAAUGAGGACCCGGUGCAGUCAAAUAAAGUGAUUAACUGAAAUUUAAAAAAAAAGAAAAAGAAAAUAACGGAUUAGAGAGUGAUGUUGCCGUUCUUCCAAAAGGUACACAUAGAAAUGCCGCACGACCCAGUGAUUCCACUCCUCGGCUUUACCCGGGAGACAUGGGACAGCAGACGGUGGGGACAGCCCCAGGGUCCUCAGCUGAGGACACAGAGGCAGUCUGUCCAUAAAGUGCGUGGACUGACCAUCCGGCCUUAAGAAGGGAUGGAGCCUCACGCUCGCUGCAGCACCGUGAACCCUGCAGACAGUCUGCUCAGUGAAGGGUGCUGGAUGCAAAGGGCAGAUACUGUGUGAAUCCAUUUAUGGGAAAUGUCAGGACAGGCAAACCCACGGAGACAGAAAGCAGGUUUUGCUUCCAGGGGCUGGGGGAAGACAGGAGGGGCGUCAGAGCUGCACGGGUAGGGAGGAACCCUUGGAGUGAUGACGUGUUUCAGAACGCUAUAGGGGUGGUGGUCCCAAAAUACCGUGAGUGUGCCACACACCCCCGAACCGUUCACUUUAAAAUGGUCGUGUUACACGAAUCCCACUUCAGUAAAAUGAAACAAGUCGUGGAAGUUACGGAGAUGAUCCUAAGAACUGCCAGAGCUGUGUGCAAACUCAGAAGCCUCCCCAGGCCAAGGUGCAGGCAGUCCCUGACUCCAGGCAAUGGCCCGUGUCCCCCAGGCUUGAUCCCCACGAGGGUGGCAUCCUGAUGAUGGCCUCUUGCCCCUUCAGACUAACUCAGUCUGGCAGGGACACAGACGUCAGUGCUCAGCAGGCUGAGAGCAGGCGGAAUGCUGGUCCCCCUCUGCUGACGCCCUUGGCCAUUCCCCACACCCCCACCCGUUAUACGCAGAGCUCUCAUUUGAUGCCUGAUAACCCAGUACAGGUCAAGUCUCACCUGCCAUGAGUCCUUCCCACUUGCAUCAGAGAACUGGCUUAUGGUUUCAAGAGUUUGUUCGUGGUCCCAAAUUAUUUGUAUGUCUGUCUGUCUGUGGGGCCGGCGGGGCAGCCUCUCCCUCUUCUGGUCUCAGAGAAAGUCCCUUUCGGUCACAGGCGAGCCUGGGUUUGCCAUCUGAGCAGGCUCGGCCCGCAUGCCCACUUAAUCUAAACCAUUAAGAUGUUCUGGGCGGAUCAGAUCGUUUCGGGCCGCACGCCGUCCCCGGGCCCAGGCACCCAACAGCCGCCACGUCUGACUACACGGUGCCGCGCUGAGCUGACUGGCCGUGCGGGGCUGUUUGCGUGGGCGAUGAGGGUGCAGUGAUCCAGAAAGAACGCGGGUCCAGGCAGGCAGCUCUUUCCCUAACACCCUGCUCCGCAGUCAGGAAAUACAGCGCCCGCACCCCUGGGGGUGUGAACACUCUGUUAAAACCAGCAACCAGGAGGGAAGAGAUCCAGAGAUGUGGCCGCAUCACGGAUGCAGAG
ensembl:lncRNA